GAGAAGCGAACCUGCGAAGGCAAGCGGAUCUCUUAAAGCCGUUCUCAGUUCGGACUGUAGGCUGCAACUCGCCUACACGAAGCUGGAAUCGCUAGUAAUCGCGGAUCAGCACGCCGCGGUGAAUACGUUCCCGGGCCUUGUACACACCGCCCGUCACACCAUGAGAGUCUGUAACACCCAAAGCCGGUGGGAUAACCUUUAUAGGAGUCAGCCGUCUAAGGUAGGACAGAUGAUUAGGGUGAAGUCGUAACAAGGUAAC
rnacentral:rRNA from 1 species